UACGUAGGGGGCAAGCGUUGUCCGGAUUUAUUGGGCGUAAAGAGCGUGUAGGCGGCCAGGUAGGUCUGCUGUGAAAACUCGAGGCUUAACCUCGAGAUGUCGGCGGAAACCAUCUGGCUAGAGUCCGGAAGAGGAGAGCGGAAUUCAUGGUGUAGCAGUGAAAUGCGUAGAGAUCAUGAGGAAGACCAGUGGCGAAGGCGGGUCUCUGGACAGUUCCUGACACUGAGGCACGAAGGCCAGGGGAGCAAACGGG
rnacentral:rRNA from 1 species